rnacentral:rRNA from 1 species
UACGAAGGGGGCUAGCGUUGUUCGGAAUCCCUGGGCGUAAAGCGCACGUAGGCGGACAUUUAAGUCAGGGGUGAAAUCCCGAGGCUCAACCUCGGAACUGCCUUUGAUACUGGGUGUCUUGAGUAUGGUAGAGGUUGGUGGAACUGCGAGUGUAGAGGUGAAAUUCGUAGAUAUUCGCAAGAACACCAGUGGCGAAGGCGGCCAACUGGACCAUUACUGACGCUGAGGUGCGAAAGCGUGGGGAGCAAACAGG